GGAGGAUUAGCUCAGCUGGGAGAGCAUCUGCCUUACAAGCAGAGGGUCGGCGGUUCGAGCCCGUCAUCCUCCA
rnacentral:ncRNA from 10 species